UACAGAGGGUGCGAGCGUUAAUCGGAAUUACUGGGCGUAAAGUGUGCGCAGGCGGCCGAGCAAGUCGAGUGUGAAAGCCCCGAGCUUAACUUGGGAACUGCGCUCGAAACUACUUGGCUAGAGUGUGGCAGAGGGAGGUGGAACUCCACGUGUAGCGGUGAAAUGCGUAGAGAUGUGGAGGAACACCGAUGGCGAAGGCAGCCUCCUGGGCCAACACUGACGCUCAUGCACGAAAGCGUGGGGAGCAAACAGG
rnacentral:rRNA from 1 species